rnacentral:rRNA from 1 species
CGCCAUCCGUUUAAAUGGAGGUGCUGGGGCUGUCGCUGACCUUUGAAAAGGUCGUGCACGCCCGGAGCACUCUCUCAUAUCCAUCUCACCCCUUUGUGCAUUGCCGCGUGGGUCCCCUUUUGGCUUGUUCCGAGGGGGACCUGCGUUUUUACAUAGACACCCUUUGAAUGCAUGUGUAGAACGUCUUACUUUUUGCGAUCACACGCAAUCAAUACAACUUUCAACAACGGAUCUCUUGGCUCUCGCAUCGAUGAAGAACGCAGCGAAAUGCGAUACGUAAUGUGAAUUGCAGAAUUCAGUGAAUCAUCGAAUCUUUGAACGCACCUUGCGCCCCUUGGUAUUCCGAGGGGCACACCCGUUUGAGUGUCGUGAAUACUCUCAACCUUCUUGGUUUCUUUGACCACGAAGGCUUGGACUUUGGAGGUUUUUCUUGCUGGCCUCUUUUGAAGCCAGCUCCUCCUAAAUGAAUGGGUGAGGUCCGCUUUGCUGAUCCUCGACGUGAUAAGCAUUUCUUCUACGUCUUAGUGUCAGCUCGGAACCCGCUUUCCAACCGUCUUUGCACAAAGACAAUGUUCGAGUUGUGACUCGACCUUACAAACCUUGACCUCAAAUCGGGUGAGACUACCCGCUGAA